CAGCGUUAUCCAGUCGAAUCGACUUAAUCGGAUAAUCAGGGUGGUGAGCCCUUAGCUUGAUGAUUUGAGCUAGGAGUUUAGCAAACACGGCAUUGCGUGUGGACAACAAGCAAACAUUUGACCAUCUUGUUGAUGCAUCAGCCAACACCAUAAAGUAUAUAAAUGGUCCGCAUGUUGGUUGGAUAGGUCCACAAAUGUCCCCUUGAAUCCUCUGAAGAAAUUUAGGAGGGUCGUGAACAAUCUUUGUAUAUGAAGGUUGAGUAUUCAACUUUCCUAAAUAGCACGCUUUGCAUGGCGGGAGUCCAACAUAUGGAUGUAACUUAUGCCCGUGUGAAGAUUUGAGGAUAAGGCGCAUCAUGUCACGUCUAGGAUGUCACAAAUAGUCAUGCCAAAGCAACAAAGUGUCCUGGAACUCAGGCAUAGGGCCGACCACACUGUGGGCUUCUAUGCCAUGAAUGGUUGUGAUGUACAACCCACUCAGUAGACGUUCCAACUUCUCAUGAAUACGUUUCUGGGCAUAUUCGUAUAAAGUGAUACAAAGAAAUUUAGAAUCAUUAUCUUCAGUGGUUUCAAUAUGAUAUUGAUUAUCUCAAAUAUCUCCAAAACUCAGCAACUUUCUUUCGGAAUGUGGAGAAUAGAGUGUCUCCUUAAUGGUCAAGAUUGUACCAUUAGACAACAUGAUACGUGCAUUUCCGUAUCCUUCAAUUAGGUGGGAUGAGCCAGAGAGAGUUGUCAAAUGAGCUUUCUUGGGUAUUAACUUAGUAAAAUA
rnacentral:lncRNA from 1 species